GUGCUAAGGUAACAUAAUCCCUUGCCUCUUAAUUAGUGGCUAGUAUGAAUGGAUAAACGAAAAUCAACCUGUCUCUGUAAGCACUCUAAAAAUUGUCCCUCAGGCGAAGAGACCUGAAUAAAAAUAAAAGACAAGAAGACCCUGUAGAGCCUUAGCACAAAUUAGCGCUUAAAAUAAAACUAAAUUUAAACUACUAAUUUAGCUCCAGUUGGGGCGACUAAGGAACAUAAAACCCUUCCUCUUUAUCCUAACGGCCCAUACGCCUUUCUAAUGAUCCCUAUACGAUCAAAAAACCAGGCUACCUCAGGGAUAACAGUCUAAUCUUUCUCAAGAGCCCAAAUUGACAGAAAGGAUUGGCACCUCGAUGUUGGCUUAGGGGCACUUCAGGGCGCAGCCGCCCUGAAAGUAGGUUUGUUCAACCUUUAAAACCCUACGUGAUC
rnacentral:rRNA from 1 species